UACGAAGGGGGCUAGCGUUGCUCGGAAUCACUGGGCGUAAAGCGCACGUAGGCGGCUUUUUAAGUCAGGGGUGAAAUCCUGGAGCUCAACUCCAGAACUGCCUUUGAUACUGAGAAGCUUGAGUCCGGGAGAGGUGAGUGGAACUGCGAGUGUAGAGGUGAAAUGCGUAGAUAUCGGGAGGAACACCAGUGGCGAAGGCGGUUGCCUGGAGCUUUGCUGACGCUGAGGCGCGAAAGCGUGGGGAGCGAGUCGG
rnacentral:rRNA from 1 species